UACGAGGGGGGCAAGCGUUGUUCGGAAUUAUUGGGCGUAAAGGGCGCGUAGGCGGUGCGGUAAGUCACCUGUGAAACCUCUAGGCUUAACCUAGAGCCUGCAGGCGAAACUGCCGUGCUUGAGGGUGGGAGAGGUGCGUGGAAUUCCCGGUGUAGCGGUGAAAUGCGUAGAUAUCAGGAAGAACACCCGUGGCUAAGGCGGCUCUCUAGUACGGUACUGACGCUGAGACGCGAAAGCGUGGGGAGCGAACAGG
rnacentral:rRNA from 1 species